rnacentral:lncRNA from 1 species
UAGGGUUUUAUGAUUUAUAAUUUGAUAUUUUUGUCGUUCCUCUGAUACGAUUAUUGAAUAAAAGGCGAAAAAUUAAUUAUUGAUGUUAAAAGAAUGAGAGAUUCCUGCCGAUGAGGCAUUGGUAUAGUUGGAAAAAGCGGAGGCCUUGGGUUCUGAGUACCUAAAUUUGAGACCAUCAUGUUUAAUAAUAUCGUGGGGUCUUUGAGCCCCUGUUGAUACGUGGGUCUUAGUCUGAUAUAGUCAGCAUUGAUCUCAAUUGUUCCUUAAUCCUUUGUAUUGUAAUAAUUUAUUUUACUUUGUGGUUGAUUUGACAUGUAUUUGUAUUUUUAUACUUUACUUUGUGGUUGUUUUGACAUGUAUUUGUAUUUUUAUACUUUAAUUUUAUCGUACUUGUAACCUUAGAAAAAGAAUGAGAGAUUUGUCAUAUGGGUUACUUUUCCUUAACUAUGGUUUAUAGGCUGAGAAGAUUUCUACACUAAUUAAAGCUGCAAAUGUCUCUGUUGAAUCCUACUGGCCAAGCUUGUUUGCUAAGCUUUUUGAGAAGUGCAACAUUGAGGAUCUCAUAACCAAUGUUGGAGCUGCUGGUGGUGGUGCCCCAGUAGCUGCAGCUGCACCUGUUGCUGCUGGCGGAGGAGCUGGUGCUGCUGCACCACCUCCUGCUGAGGAAAAGAAGAAGGAAGAACCGGAGGAAGAGAGUGAUGACGAUAUGGGAUUCAGUUUGUUUGAUUAGGUGUGUUUUGGUCAAUUACUAGUUAUAUAACAUUAAGGUAGUGACUCUUUUAGAGUUGUAUUGCUAUUGGUAUUUGCAUGUUAAUUAGAAAUAUUACGUUUUUGUUGAAUGAAGUUGACACUAAGUAGCUCUUUCUUUUGUGAUCUGUUUUUCUGAAUCUUCCUACAUAUAGUAAGUAUUAUAGAUUCUGG